rnacentral:lncRNA from 12 species
GCUCGCUGGGUUUCCUUCGUCCUUUUCUCUCACCCUGCAAGGUUGUGAGCUCUAUUUGGGGUAAUAGGGUGGCCUGGACCUCUGGCCUCCUGCAUGUAGUUAUGGUGGCAUGGGUAAAGGGGGAGUCUGUCCAUGUCCUCACAGCGUGACUCAGAAGUACAGACUUGUGAGAACUGGGAUACAGAGUUGGUGGACUCUCCCCUUGAUGGGAGACACACUUAAUGUGCCAUCCUGAAACAGCCUUGGGAUCUUUACAGUUGUUGAAAAUCCUCUAGACAGAGAGCCGGGAGCUUCUGCCAUCAUUCAGACAUGCUGGUUUCAGGCUGCCACACAUCUGGUUUUACCCUCUUGCAUUUUUCAAUCUGUAGCUUGAAGACUGGUCUCUGCUACUCCACCCCUAACUUGGGUGUGGCGUUGCGUGCAGUGUGUACGUGCAUAUGUGUGCAGGCACGUGUUUAGGACUUGACUGCUGUCUCAGCAACUGUAGGACCAUGUGCACACAUUUUACCUUCUCUACCCAUUCAGGCAAGUUAUAGCUAGCUCUUUGUUAAGAGUAUUUUGAGAAUGUCACCUCAUGAUGCUUGGGCCCACGUUGAGACAACUCCAGCCAUGUCGCAAAACCAGGGCAUGAGGGACUCAUCUUUGAAAAGACAUGAAGGUUUUGAGGUAAGAAGAUUUUACAAUCAUAUGGGUAAAAGAUUUUCUUGUUUUAAAGAUUUUAUUUAUUUAUUCAUGAGAGAGACAGAGAGAGAGAGGGGCAGAGACACAAGUAGAGGGAGAAGCAGGCUCCAAGCAGGGAGCCCAACGUGGGACUCAAUGCCAGGUCUCCAGGAUCACACCCUGGGCUGCAGGCGGUGCCAAACCGCUGGGCCACUAGGGCUGCCCAAAGAUGUUCUUUUUCAAAGAUUUUAUUUAUUUAGUUUUUAGAGAGAGAGAGAGAGAGAGGGAGCAGGGGGAGGAGCAGAAGAAGGGGGACACACAGACUUUGCGCUGUGCUCAGAGCCCAAUGCAGGGCUUGAUCCCACGACCCUGAGAUUGGGACCUGAGCCGCAACCAAGAGUCAGAUGCUUAACUGACUGGGCACCCAUCUUAUCUGAAAAAGAGAUAUUCUUUUUUAGACCAAGAGAGAAUAUUCUCUUUUCAAAUUUGUAGUUGGGAUGGGUUCUACAAAAAUCUGAAUUAAUGGACAAUUGAAUGAAAAUGUUGGGAUCCCUGGGUGGCGCAGCGGUUUGGCGCCUGCCUUUGGCCUAGGGCGCGAUCCUGGAGACCCAGGAUCGAAUCCCACAUCGGGCUCCCAGUGCAUGGAGCCUGCUUCUCCCUCUGCCUGUGUCUCUGCCUCUCUCUCUCUCUCUCUCUCUCUCUCUCUGUGACUAUCAUAAAUAAAUAAAAAUUAAAAAAAAAAAAAAAGAAAAUG